GCAGCUCCUGCUAUUAGAGAUUUAUCUUUGUUCUUUAAUUUACAUUUCAACAACCUAAUAAUGUAUAUUAGUUAAAACACUUGAUGUCUCUGUUUAUGUUAAUACAACAGAUGAAAAUAACUCUUCUUCCCUUAAAAACCUCUGUUGUCUUGCAAUGAAUGCUUCAACAGUGUUCCUGAAUUCUUCGUUACUCAUUUCAUCCUCCACCGAUUUUACAUUGUCAGUGCGUAUAACUUUCAAACAUCCUACUGUAGCCGACCGGAUCAAUUCUUUUCUAGGCUUCUCACCAUGAGAUAUACUGGUAAAGCUCUCUGAAUGGCUACGGUUAAGUCUUUUUUCUACUAAUUGUCUCUGCACUUGUUUCCUCUGUUUCUUGCUCUGUUCACAGUAAUCAUUUUCGACUAGAAAGCUCUGUUUCCCCUGUUUCUUGCUCUGCUCAAAGUAAGCAUUUUCUACUAGAAUACUCUGUUUA
rnacentral:misc_RNA from 1 species